AAGAGUCAAGUAGCUCCUGUGAAUCAACAGCCUUCGAUGAAGCUCCCCUAAGAGCACGCCAUGAUACCCACUGUCCAGUUUGAACAGCCCGUGCAUUAUGAACCGGAAGAGGUCCCGGACAGUCACAAGCUGGCGGUCAGCGAGUGCCCAAUACAGAGCUAUCGUGUUCUGUAGAGGGGUCCGAAUGGGCUGUCGAUGUGAGAAGUACAGCGACAGUUGUAUACUGGAAAGCAUAUCCACUGCCUCUUGGAACACUAUCAUAGUUACAACAGCCCACUGCAUUAGGCACGGAGAAAGCAGCCAUUUCUACACCUCUACCACACGCGACCGUGGGAGUCCCGCAGCGGAGGCAGCAGCUAUGGCGCCUGCCGCACACCUGGCUGUUGUCGUUCUCGAUGAUGAAAUGGUACCGCUUCCCGCAGACAGGGAUUGUGACGUCAAUGAAAUGCGAAGAUUGUACAUCAAAAGCAACAGCCCAACAAUACUUGCGAAGGCCAACGCAGUCACGGAAGAAAACGAGAAGAUUCAAGAUAAAUUACUGUUGGAAACAGACAAGACGCCAAAUGCUCAUUUCAGCCCAUUAUUUGCUAAAAAAUCAGAACUUUUUUAUGUCGUUAAAUCUUGGGAGUUGCAUUCCAAAACCGCGGAAAAACCAUCUCAAAUAAUAUACCAGAGACAUUAUCUCGAAAAAAUAAAGAUCGCGAUCGGAGCACAUCCUCCUCGACGACGUUGAGCUCCACGGCGGCGCCACCGCCCUCCUCGUCCCCCUCCUCGCCGACCCGC